UGAGUACGAGAUGCUACGGCAUCGAAGCAGUCUAUGUCAUACUUCCAAGAAAAGCUUGCAAUGUCAUAAACAAAUAAUGCCUGUACCAUAACCGACACAGGUGGGUAGGUAGAGUAUACUAAGGGGCGCGAGAUAACUCUCUCUAAGGAACUCGGCAAAAUGACUCCGUAACUUCGGGAGAAGGAGUGCCUUAUUUUUAUAAGGUUGCAAUAACAAGAUCCAAGCAACUGUUUACCAAAAACACAGGUCUCCGCUAAGUCGUAAGACGAUGUAUGGGGGCUGACGCCUGCCCAGUGCCAGAAGGUUAAAGAAGUUGGUUAGCAUUAGCGAAGCUGAUAACUGAAGCCCUGGUGAACGGCGGCCGUAACUAUAACGGUCCUAAGGUAGCGAAAUUCCUUGUCGGGUAAGUUCCGACCCGCACGAAAGGCGUAAUGAUUUGGAUACUGUCUCGGAGAGGGGCUCGGUGAAAUAGACUUGUCUGUGAAGAUGCGGACUACCUGCACCUGGACAGAAAGACCCUAUGAAGCUUUACUGUAACUUGAGAUUGAAAUUGGACUUUAUCUGCGCAGUAUAGGUGGGAGACGUUGAAAAUAUUCUUGCGGGAAUAUUGGAGUCAUCAGUGAGAUACCACUCUUAUAAUGUUAGAUUUCUAACUUUGUAUCAUUAUCUGGUCAAAGAACAGUUUCAGGCGGGCAGUUUGACUGGGGCGGUCGCCUCCCAAACGGUAACGGAGGCGCACAAAGGUUUCCUCUGAACGUGUAGAAAUCGUAUCUAGAGUGUAAAGGCAUAAGGAAGCUUGACUGUGAGACCUACAAGUCGAGCAUGGACGAAAGUCGGUCUUAGUGAUCUGACGGUGCUGAGUGGAAAGGCCGUCACUCAACGGAUAAAAGUUACUCUAGGAUAACAGGCUGAUCUCCCCCAAGAGUUCACAUCGACGGGGAGGUUUGGCACCUCGAUGUCGGCUCAUCGCAUCCUGGGGCGGUAGUACGUCCCAAGGGUUGGGCUGUUCGCCCAUGAAAGCGGUACGCGAGCUGGGUUCAGAACGUCGUGAGACAGUUCGGUCCAUAUCCGGUGUAGGCGUUAGAAUAUUGAGAGGAGCCUUCUUUAGUACGAGAGGACCGAGAAGGACAUACCUCUGGUGUACCAGUUAUCGUGCCAACGGUAAACGCUGGGUAGCCAUGUAUGGAGAGGAUAACCGCUGAAAGCAUCUAAGUGGGAAGCCCACCUCAAGAUAAGUAUUCC
rnacentral:rRNA from 1 species